UAAAAAUACAGGAGAAAAUAAUGUGGUGCAAAUCAGGUGCAAACGUCGUGCGUCCGGCGCGCCAUCCGCGCUCGCCCGAUACGAAGACAAGCCGAGCUUGCGGCCAAGCCAGCCAAGCUAAGCCAAAUAGUUAACUCGGCUAGGGUGGCCUAACUCGGCGCACGCUUUGUGUAAUCUCGACACGUAAGCCUGCUUACACGGUGUUUGGUUUAGUGUAUUUCCGCGACGAGAACGUGAAGGCUAUGUUCAACGUGCACCAUAAGAACUCAGCCACAAAUGUCUUGGAUUAUGACUCUACAAAGUGGCACCAAGAAUAAUGGCAAGACGAGCAACAAGCUUACGUCAAGGCCCAUGUGCUCCGAUUGUUCGAAUUUUGGAGGCAUUUCCUCAAGUGCCGCUGCAGCUGCCCAGAAGAAAGUGACACAAGACAUAGUUGCCUUGGCAAAAUGGUCGCCGACAUCAUGAAGGGCCAGCAUAAGCAUUUGUAGUUUUGAUUAUGAAAAUAUAUUUGAACGUAUGCCUCA